rnacentral:rRNA from 1 species
UACGGGGGGGGCAAGCGUUGUUCGGAAUUACUGGGCGUAAAGGGCUCGUAGGCGGCCAACUAAGUCGGAUGUGAAAUCCCCAGGCUUAACCUGGGAACUGCAUCCGAUACUGGAUGGCUUGAAUCCGGGAGAGGGAUGCAGAAUUCCAGGUGUAGCGGUGAAAUGCGUAGAUAUCUGGAGGAACCCCAGAGGCGAAGGCGGCCCCCUGGCUCGUACCUGACGCUCAGGAGCGAAAGCGUGGGGAGCGAACAGG